AUUGAACGCUGGCGGCAGGCCUAACACAUGCAAGUCGAGCGGAUGAAGGGAGCUUGCUCCUGGAUUCAGCGGCGGACGGGUGAGUAAUGCCUAGGAAACUGCCUGGUAGUGGGGGAUAACGUCCGGAAACGGGCGCUAAUACCGCAUACGUCCUGAGGGAGAAAGUGGGGGAUCUUCGGACCUCACGCUAUCAGAUGAGCCUAGGUCGGAUUAGCUAGUUGGUGGGGUAAAGGCCUACCAAGGCGACGAUCCGUAACUGGUCUGAGAGGAUGAUCAGUCACACUGGAACUGAGACACGGUCCAGACUCCUACGGGAGGCAGCAGUGGGGAAUAUUGGACAAUGGGCGAAAGCCUGAUCCAGCCAUGCCGCGUGUGUGAAGAAGGUCUUCGGAUUGUAAAGCACUUUAAGUUGGGAGGAAGGGCAGUAAGUUAAUACCUUGCUGUUUUGACGUUACCAACAGAAUAAGCACCGGCUAACUUCGUG
rnacentral:rRNA from 1 species